ACGGAAGGAGCAGUGGGGAAUAUUGCACAAUGGGGGAAACCCUGAUGCAGCGACGCCGCGUGAGCGAAGAAGUAUUUCGGUAUGUAAAGCUCUAUCAGCAGGGAAGAAAAUGACGGUACCUGACUAAGAAGCCCCGGCUAACUACGUGCCAGCAGCCGCGGUAAUACGUAGGGGGCAAGCGUUAUCCGGAUUUACUGGGUGUAAAGGGAGCGUAGACGGCAAGGUAAGUCUGAAGUGAAAUGCCGGGGCUCAACCCCGGAACUGCUUUGGAAACUAUCUCGCUCGAGUACCGGAGGGGUAAGCGGAAUUCCUAGUGUAGCGGUGAAAUGCGUAGAUAUUAGGAGGAACACCAGUGGCGAAGGCGGCUUACUGGACGGUAACUGACGUUGAGGCUCGAAAGCGUGGGGAGCAAACAGGAUUAGAUACCCUGGUA
rnacentral:rRNA from 1 species